rnacentral:rRNA from 1 species
GUAAUACGGAGGGUGCAAGCGUUAAUCGGAAUUACUGGGCGUAAAGCGCACGCAGGCGGUCAAUUAAGUCAGAUGUGAAAGCCCCGAGCUUAACUUGGGAAUUGCAUCUGAAACUGGUUGGCUAGAGUCUUGUAGAGGGGGGGGUAGAAUUCCACGUGUAGCGGUGAAAUGCGUAGAGAUGUGGAGGAAUACCGGUGGCGAAGGCGGCCCCCUGGACAAAGACUGACGC